AUUGAACGCUGGCGGCAGGCCUAACACAUGCAAGUCGAACGAGUGGCGGACGGGUGAGUAAUGUCUGGGAAACUGCCUGAUGGAGGGGGAUAACUACUGGAAACGGUAGCUAAUACCGCAUACCAUCGGAUGUGCCCAGAUGGGUUUAGCUAGUAGUUGGGGUAAAGGCUGACCUAGGCGACGAUCCCUAGCUGGUCUGUGAGGAUGACGAGCAACACUGGAACUGAGACACGGUCCAGACUCCUACGGAAGGAAGCAGGGGGGAAUAUUGCACAAGGGGCGCAAGCCUGAUGCAGCCAUGCCGCGUGUAUGAAGAAGGCCUUCGGGUUGUAAAGUACUUGGAGCGAGGAGGCGUUACCCGCAGAAGAAGCACCGGCUAACUCCGUGCCAGCAGCCGCGGUAAUUC
rnacentral:rRNA from 1 species